rnacentral:rRNA from 1 species
AGAGUUUGAUCCUGGCUCAGAAUCAACGCUGGCGGCGUGCCUCAGACAUGCAAGUCGAACGAUUAAGACUUCCUUCGGGAAGUGUAUAAAGUGGCGCACGGGUGAGUAACACGUAAGUAAUCUACCUUCGAGUGGGGGAAUAACGUUCGGAAACGAACGCUAAUACCGCAUAAUGCAGCGGCUCGACAUCGAGACAGUUGUUAAAGGAGCAAUCCGCCUUUUGAGCAGCCUGCGGCAGAUUAGCUAGUUGGUAAGGUAAUGGCUUACCAAGGCUACGAUCUGUAACCGACCUGAGAGGGUGGUCGGUCACACUGACACUGAAUAACGGGUCAGACUCCUACGGGAGGCAGCAGCCGGGAAUUUUGGGCAAUGGGCGAAAGCCUGACCCAGCAACGCCGCGUGAAGGAUGAAGUAUUUCGGUAUGUAAACUUCGUAAGAAUAGGAAGAAUAAAUGACGGUACUAUUUGUAAGGUCCGGCUAACUACGUG